rnacentral:rRNA from 1 species
UACAGAGGGUGCAAGCGUUGUUCGGCAUCAUUGGGCGUAAAGGGCGUGUAGGCGGUUUGUGAAGUCAUGUGUGAAAUCCCCCGGCUCAACCGGGGAAGGACGCAUGAAACUGAUAAGCUAGAGUACCAAAGAGGGGGGUGGAAUUCCCGGUGUAGCGGUGAAAUGCGUAGAUAUCGGGAGGAACGCCGGUGGCGAAGGCGGCCCCCUGGUUGGAUACUGACGCUGAGACGCGAAAGCGUGGGGAGCAAACAGG